rnacentral:tRNA from 1 species
GAACGGAUCGUCUAAGGGAAGGACGCCGGAGCUUGCUCCGGAAAUGUGGGUUCGAAUCCCAUUCCGCUCA